AAAUAUCAGUAUUUUUCGUUUACUGUAAAUACAUCCUCAACUAAAAGUGAGAGAUAAAUGGUUAAACCACCAUCCUCUAAUCAGACCCCACUCAUGCCGUCUGGAGGACGGGUAAUAGCUAGCGUAUAUAUAUAUAUGAUUUUAAUAAAACAUUUUCAAUUGUCAUUGGAUGGUUGCGCCGCCACCGAAAUAGCGGUACAUUUUGGAAGGAGUGCGGAGGAGUUUCGAGUGCGCGCGUUCGCAGUUUCAAGUGGGCAUCCAUAAAAUGCUUAGUACAGUAUUAAUUUUGUGAUCAAUGAAGUCACAAGCACUUGGCGUAGAGAGUAUAAAUACGUUACGGGUUUGUUUACCCUCAUUUUAUUAUUGAAACGUUCAAAGUUCCGGUGCACGCAGUCGGUAGGCGUUUGGCCAGUUGUAUAUAAUUAUAUGUUAGUUGUUUUCUUGAAUAAUUUUUAAGUCUCGACUCUUACCUCUCUUCUUAAUAAUGAGGCGAUAUAAUUAUGUUUUGUCUUAUGCGGCGACCGUUUAAUUUUGUAGUGGUACAUGUUGUUACAUGAAACAAAAUAUGUAUAAAAAAAGCUUUAUUCGUCAUAAA